UUUCGGGCUUCGACCGGCGUACGGGUGCGUAACGCGUAUACAAUCUGCCUUUCACAUAGGGAUAGCCCGAAGAAAUUUGGAUUAAUACCUAAUAGUAUAUAGGUGUGGCAUCACAUUUAUAUUAAAGCUGAGGCGGUGAAAGAUGAGUAUGCGUUCUAUUAGCUAGUUGGAGAGGUAACGGCUCCCCAAGGCUACGAUAGAUAGGGGUUCUGAGAGGGAUAUCCCCCACACUGGUACUGAGAUACGGACCAGACUCCUACGGGAGGCAGCAGUGAGGAAUAUUGGACAAUGGUCGGAAGACUGAUCCAGCCAUGCCGCGUGCAGGAAGACGGCCUUAUGGGUUGUAAACUGCUUUUGCAGGGGAAGAAUAAGGACUACGAGUAGUUUGAUGACGGUACUCUGCGAAUAAGCAUCGGCUAACUCCGUGCCAGCAGCCGCGGUAAUACGGAGGAUGCGAGCGUUAUCCGGAAUCAUUGGGUUUAAAGGGUCCGUAGGCGGGCUAAUAAGUCAGAGGUGAAAGCGCUCAGCUCAACUGAGCAACUGCCUUUGAAACUGUUAGUCUUGAAUGGUUGUGAAGUAGUUGGAAUGUGUAGUGUAGCGGUGAAAUGCUUAGAUAUUACACAGAACACCGAUAGCGAAGGCAUAUUACUAACAAUUAAUUGACGCUGAUGGACGAAAGCGUGGGGACCGAACAGGAUUAGAUACCCUGGUAGUCCACGCUGUAAACGAUGGAUACUAGCUGUUUGGUUGUAAGACUGAGUGGCUAA
rnacentral:rRNA from 1 species